rnacentral:rRNA from 1 species
UGUCUAUUAAUUGUAGACCUGUAUGAAAGGCAAAAUGAGGGUUUAACUGUCUCUUAUAGUAAAUCAAUUAAACUGAUCUUCUAGUCAAAAAGCUAGGAUAACCACAUAAGACCAGAAGACCCUGUGAAGCUUAAACUAAACUGUUAAACCAUAUAAUAAUUACUUUCGGUUGGGGCGACCUUGGAAAAAAAAAGAACUUCCAAACACAGUGACCAUAAACCACCACAUACGGCCUACAAGCCUACAAACUUUUUAGACCCAGCAAUGCUGAUAAAUGAACCAAGUUACUCCAGGGAUAACAGCGCCAUCUUCUUUAAGAGCCCAUAUCAAAAAGAAGGCUUACGACCUCGAUGUUGGAUCAGGACAUCCUAAUGGUGCA